AACGAACGCUGGCGGCAGGCCUAACACAUGCAAGUCGAACGCCCUAGCAAUAGGGAGUGGCAGACGGGUGAGUAACACGCGGGAACGUGCCCUUCGGUUCGGAAUAACUCAGGGAAACUUGAGCUAAUACCGGAUACGUGCGAGAGCAGAAAGAUUUAUCGCCGAAGGAUCGGCCUGCGUCCGAUUAGCUAGUUGGUGAGGUAAUGGCUCACCAAGGGGACGAUCGGUAGCUGGUCUGAGAGGAUGACCAGCCACACUGGGACUGAGACACGGCCCAGACUCCUACGGGAGGCAGCAGUGGGGAAUAUCGGACAAUGGGCGCAAGCCUGAUCCAGCCAUGCCGCGUGAGUGAUGAAGGCCCUAGGGUUGUAAAGCUCUUUCGCCAGGGACGAUAAUGACGGUACCUGGAUAAGAAGCCCCGGCUAACUUCGUGCCAGCCGCCGCAGUAA
rnacentral:rRNA from 1 species